rnacentral:rRNA from 1 species
AUGCAGCCGUAUCAUCUCAACGCUUUUGGUCUGCGCACCCACAUCAAGUUGCAGAGCAAAUUCUACGGUCCAUUUCGCAUAACCAAACAUGUGUGCAACGUCGCUUACAAGCUCCUCCUGCCAAGCUCCUCCACUAUCCACCCGGUGUUCCAUGUAAGCAAGCUUAAAAAGCACAUCAGCCCACAAGCUGUUCCUUGUAUAGAUCUACCUUUGGUCAGCCCGAACAACAUGAUUCGCACUGAGCCAGUCCUUGUUCUGGAAACACAACAAAUCCCCCACAACAAUCUACCAGUGGUCCAAUGGGAAAAUUUGCCACCUGAAGAUGCUUCCUGGGAAGACGCUGAUUUCAUGAAGAGCAUGUUCCCAGCCUUUUUCAAGCAAACAGUUCAAGCUUGGUUCAGUAAGCAACCUCCUUGA